GAGCGGUGCCGGGCAGCGCGCUGGCUUUGUUCGCUCCUCCUGGCCGUGCCAUGCGGUCGGCUCCUGUGGGGUCCGGGGCCUCCCGGGGUCGGUGCCGCUUAUGUACGGGACGGUGCCGGAGGGCCGGGAUCGGCGGCAGCGGGAUGGCACUGAGUUCUCUGAGAUGCUCUAUGGAAAUGAUGAGAAUGACUUCUGAAGCUGUGAGCAGUGGCUGAUGAGAAGCUAAAGAGAGGGACCUCAACAUUGAACUGACUGAUAUGGAAUGAUGGGGCAUUUCAUAGCAAAUGGAUGAAGGUAUGUCUGUUUUCCUUCUUAAAAGUGAAAUGUGCUUCUGAAGUUCCCUUGUUAUCACUUGUGCUUUGCUUGUCUGAUUUUUCUCUAGAGAAGAGACCUUCAUCCUGUGACUACUUCCCUUCCUGACCUCUCAUGGUAGCUGCAGGCAUGAAGCACUAACAGGAACGCAGGAUCCUUAGUUUUGUUUUUUUUUCCUGAAGCUUUUAUUUUUAGCUUCGUAAGUCGGUGUGUGCUAAGGAGGGCACUUUAAAGGAAGCUGCAGUUGAAGCGUACGAAUUCAUGUUCUUACUGGCUGGAAAACAGCUUAUUUUGUAAGUCAGAGAUCCAGAAUUCCUUCAGAUUCUCAAGUGAAGUUCCAGUGGAUUUGAUGCCCUUUAAUUAUUGAUGUACAGCUCCAGGCUUUCAUUACAUGGUCUCAUUUACCUUUUUCAUAAAGUAAGAGCUCUGUAUUUUAACUGUGCAAAAGUCAAUACCUCAUUUAGAACAUGAGUUGGAAAGAGACAGUAUUUCACAUUGGGUAACACUGUGCUGUCACUGUUUCCUUCACUGCACAGCCCUCUUUGAAAGCUCAUUUCUCUUUGAGUUAUGUUAUGCUGAAGUGGAAUCUUAAUAUAAGUUCUACUAUAUUCAUUAUUCAUGUCCUUGUUGCUGCUUUGAGGCUAAGAAGGAAAUGCAUUUCUUCUCAAAAGAAGGUAGGGUUGAGUGUGAAGAAAACUGCUGAUUGUUUUUUUCCUCUCCAUGCACAACUUUGCAGAAAUUGGGUCCCUUCUGCUUAAAAUCACUCAGUCAGCAGCUAUUAGAAAAGUUCUUUUUGUUUUUGUAUGCUGUACAAGGUCAGUUGUGUUAUUUGUCCGUGGCAGCAUCUGCAGCUGUUUCAUUCAGUGAUUGGUUUUAGCAGAAUAAUACAGAAAAUGGUGCACAACAGUUAAAUGUGAUGUGAUGUUAGGAGGGAAAAACCCUUGGUAACUUCAGUGUCCUUCACAGGGUUAGCAUAGAUAACAUUCUGCCUGCUCCUGAAAAGUGGGACUGCUCUCCUCUGAAACACUUCAUCCUCGUUUAUAUGUAAGGAUGUGUGAUACACUUGUAGUCUGUUAAACUGGUCUAUGGUCAGAGUUUAUAGCAGGACAGGUAAGCAGGAAUUUUAUAAAGAAACUUCCUUAGGCAUUGAGCUAAUAAACUUUGAUCACCUGCAAGAGGCUUUCUGAGAAAUAGCAAUUAUAAUGCUGGUGUUGCAUAACUAAUUUUUCUAUGGUUGUUUUAUUCCUGAUUUGCCUACAAUAGGCAGGACUUGCACCUCAGCAAGUUUAUAGUGUGUUAGGAAACAUGCAUUUCAUAUUUUAAUUACAUAGACACGUUUUACAUCCGGACUUGCAUUACUCACUUCCACCACACUGUUUUCAGAGAAACUGGUGAGAUCCAGAAGCUCACUGGGGCUUUGACUACUAUUUCAUCUCAGCACACGCAGCGUAGUUUACUCAGCCAGGCUGGUCGUACUUGUGAGUGGAUGGAUGCUUAAAGGAGGUGGAAGCUCUGCAGGUCUCACAGAUGGCCCAAGAAACCUUACUGUCAUAGUCAAAGCUAUGUAAUGUACAUCAACAAAAAUAGAAUAAACAAAGGAAAUGUGCUGUUACAAAGAGCCA